ensembl:ncRNA F13H6.13 ncRNA
GUGUGUGCGUGAAGAGACACAGAGUUACCACGUUUGCAUAGAUAACUGAGAUCAGAGAGACGAAGUUUGCCUAUGUACCAACGAGUGGACCAGUUUUGACCAGCAAUUUGAGAAGAAUUUUGUGGGUUGAGACAGGGCGCUGCGCAACGCAACGCACCAACUCACUGCGAGAUAGACUCUUGAAACUCGGCGCCUUUCUUUUUCUCGUACGUGAAACUGGGAGCCGAAGGGGGAGAGAAUGUGUUUGAAUAGAGCAUCAAUGAAUAGAAGAAGGUCGUCAAAGACCGGUCGUUGGCUCGGCGCUCAGGGGUCAGGUUACUUGUGCUACAUGUUGAUGUUGCCACCACGUCAUAUCGG